GACGAACGCUGGCGGCGUGCUUAACACAUGCAAGUCGAACGGAGUGGCGAACGGGUGAGUAACACGUGGGUGAUCUGCCUUGCACUUCGGGAUAAGCUUGGGAAACUGGGUCUAAUACCGGAUAGUGCAAGAUGAGCUGGCGGCCUAUCAGCUUGUUGGUGGGGUAAGGGCCUACAAAGGCGUCGACGGGUAGCCGGCCUGAGAGGGUGUACGGCCACCUUGGGACUGAGAGACGGACCAGACGCCUACGGGAGGCAGCAGUGGGGAAUCUUGCGCAAUGGGCGGAAGCCUGAGGCAGCGACGCCGGGUGGGGAAUGAAGUCUUUCGGGUUGUAAACUACUUUCGACAGGGACGCGGUACCUGUAUAAGAAGCACCGGCUAACUACGUGCCAGCAGCCGCGGUAAUUC
rnacentral:rRNA from 1 species